rnacentral:piRNA from 1 species
AGCAUGGUAAAAUGGCACCUGCUUAA